rnacentral:tRNA from 1 species
GGAGUAGUAGCUCAGAUGGUUAGAGCAACAGAUUACUUUUCGCUUUUGGCAAAUAAAAGUUCCUGUAAAACUUCAAAGUUGUGGGUCGCAGGUUCGAGUCCUGCCUACUCCU